CGGGAUGUAGCGCAGCCUGGUAGCGUGCCUGUUUCGGAUACAGGAGGUCGCCGGUUCAAAUCCGGCCAUCCCGA
rnacentral:tRNA from 1 species